UCCUGCGGCGGCAUGUCGGCCUGGGGUCGGGGAGCUUCUCGGCGGUGACCUGGGGGUAGCUUUUUCUUAUCCCCGUUAUCAGAGACUCCCCCACCAUGCCCACUGAGCAUAUCCCUCAGUGCCACAUCCACACGGUUCUUCAACACCUCCAGGGACGGUGACUGCACCACCUCCCUGGGCAGCCUGUGCCACUGCCUCACUGCUCUUUCUCAGAAUAAAUUCUUCCUCAUAUCCAACCUGAACCUCCCCUGGUGCAACUUAACUCCUAUCCCAACACUGUUACCUGGGAGCAGAGGCCGACCUCCACCUCACCACACCUCCUUUCAGGCAGCUGUAGGGAGCAAUCAGGUUUCCCCUGAGCCUCCUCUUCUCCAGACUGAACAAUCCCAGCUCCCUCAGCCACUCCCCAUAAAAUUCGUGCUUCAGACCCCUCACAGCUUUGCUACCCUUCUCUGAAUGCACUCCAGGGCCUCAAUGUCUUUCUUGCAGCGAGGGCUCAAAACAGCACAGCACUCAGCAGUGCGGAGAACAGAGGGACGAUCACCUCCCUGCUCCUGGUGGCUGCACUAUUUCUGGCAGAAAGCAGUAAGGAGUCAGAAGCCAUUCUUCCUGAUUCUACAUACCAGCAGGGUUCAACUCACUCCAAAUCAAAGUGGAGUUGCUGAGGAGGGACUAAUUAUGAGGUAAGACAUUUUCCAAGAGUAAGAAGGUUACACACUGACUACAUCAGACUGAAAAAUACCAGUGUAUUUGAAAAAUAUCAAUGCAUUGCACAAGACUGCUCCAGUCAGAGCACCAGGACUGUGUUGGACAGGAAGGAAAAAUGAAUUCCAGGAUGAGGAAUCUCCACUGACCUUGUCCCUUCCCAGGCUCUACACAAGAACGUCACUGCUGAUUUUGACAGCACGUGUGUCAUCUAAGAUGUGAUGAGCAAGUGGUAAAAAAAAGCUUAAGAAGCACUGAAAUGGGUAAGUUCUACAGCCUUUCUAUCCAUUUACUUUUUGGCUGAUAUGUAUGUGUUUGCAAAUAGAUGUUACCAGGAGUCCUACU